GUCCUUGAGUAAUAACUUGUUCUGGUGGAAGCAAAAAUCGAAUUAAAGAUAGCUUAUAGUACUUGUCUAAAAAUAAUCCAUUUUUCAAAAUCUAUUUGUAUCCACAGUUUUGGAUGAACAAUCAAUCUAAGGAAAUUAAAAAACUAAUGAAACUCAAAUAAGUAUAGCUAACAGGAAAUUGAAUGACAGGGAGGAAGGUAGUAGCUGGAAGCUGUACAGGAGGGAUGAAGGAGACACAGGAAAUGAUUGAUUUUGCGGGGAAACACAACAUAACUGCAGAUGUUGAGGUUAUUCCAAUGGACUAUGUAAACACUGCCAUGGAGCGACUGGAGAAAGCCGAUGUUAAGUACCGCUUCGUAAUUGACAUUGGUAACACCUUGAAAUCAGCCUAAGAUAAGAUAAGCUAGCUGGCACAAUAAUUCAUUGUCCUCGAGCUAUCGACUUGCGGCCAAAUGAAGAUUGAAACUGAGUGGUUUUAGUUCGUUUAAUUCAACCAUUUAUGUACUUUUCUGUAUGGUGUUUGAAGCAUGGCUUCAUAUUGUACUCUAUAUAAUCUUAUCUUUAAUAAUAUUAUUUCAUACGUACGCCUUCCUCAGAGCUUUUUCAUAUACGUCCAAGCUGUUGCUGAUAAAAUAUUAUUAAUGUGAUGUUUGUUUUUUUAACUAAAUAAAAAAAAUUAAAAUAUUUGAUUUUUUGUAUUCAAUUGAAAAUAACUCAUUAACAUCAAUUAACAUAACUAUAUUAAAUUUAUUGAUAAAAAAUUCAUUUUAGUUAUGUUGGUUAAUAUCAAAGUACUUUUAGCUGAAUAGAAAAAGUCAAAUAUUUUGAUUUUUUUUAUUCAGCCAAAAAAUAAAUAUCACCUAAAUAUAAUACUAAUAAAACAACAAUCAAAUACAAAUUAGAUAUAAGAAGUAAGGUUUACUAAUGAGCCAUAUAACUAAAAAUAACUAAAUUGAUCAUUUUUAGGUACAAUUUAAUAAUUACAAUUAAAUGAGUUUUAUAAUUGUAAUAAUUUUAUUAGUAAGGUUUACUAAUAAUUUUAAUAUAAAAUUUAAUAAUUUAAAAUAAAUAGGAAAAUUUAUUAAAAGAGUUUUAUAAUUUUUAGGUACAAUUUUUGUCAAUAAUUUUAACAACUUCAUUAAUUUCAUUAAUAUGUUUUAGCAAAUUAUUCUAAAAAUUGUAAUAAAAAAUGUUACAAUUAAAUAGAAAAUUUCAAGGGGGUUUUUCUUUUCACAAUAACUAAAAGAAAUGGCAAAUUAAGUUGAUAUUAUGCCAUGAGUACGAGAGCCUUAAAAAUAUAAUUUAAUUAUUAAAUAAAUAACAUAUUAUGGAACUCAUCUAAUAAUCAUAUCAUAUUUAAUAAUCAAGUCAAAUUAGGUUUUAUUUGAAUCAAUAUAAUUAACUUCUUAAAAUCAUUUAUUAUGACUCAAUUAAUCUCUUUAUUUAAAAUCAAAUUUUAAAUUAAUAAAAUGUGAAUUAAAUAAGUUAUAAUUACAAUCAAGCUAAUUAACACAAUUAUUAAAUAUAUCAAUUUUGAUCAAAUUCUUAUUGCACACAUUGAUAUUAAAAACAUUAUAUUUAUUAAAUAAGUUAUGUAGGUGGAUACAAAUUUCACUAACCAAAACCAGCAAACAACAUAUCAAGUUUGAAUUAUGUGAAGGUAUCUCGCAUCAAAUUUUAUUAUAUCUAAUAUCAGCAAACCAGCUGAUAUUAGUAGUCAGAAAAAUAUGAUGAUGGUAAAAGCCGUGGUGCGGCUGCAGGGAAAAAGAAAAAGCCGGAAUUCUCCGGAAAUGGCGUGACAGACAAGCCAUUUAGUACGGUAACUUCAAGCCCGCCAUUCAGGAGUCUGUAACAGUCUUACUUGACCUACUACGUCAGGGAUGACUUACCCAACCUACUACGUCAGGGCUGACAAACCACCCCACCGGCUACUAUAAAUUAGGAAUUUAAGGAAAUUCCAACAUAGCGGAGGUUCGUCUAAACAUUGAACCCAUGAAGAAUAAUCCUAAAAUUUGAACAGUAUUCAUUAUUCAUAGAGACCUUUAUCCAUUUAAAAACUAUGUGUGAUCUUUAGUCAUUGCUUCUACCAUUAAUUAUUUCAAAUAAAGCUUAGAAAAAGGAUGAGCCGCCGGGUUGGUCGCUGAUCACAUCUUAUGGCCUCCUUGUGCCUUAAAUAAUUAAAAUUUAGAUAAAAUUUAUAAUCAAGUCAGAACAGACCAACCCAUUCCUCCAUUUUUAUGUUUUUCAACAUUCAAGGAGAUAAGGUAGCCGGCAUGAACAUGAUGUUUUUGGGUUUUCACCACUUUGGUCAUUGUAUCUUAAUUUAAUUUAAUAUUCUCUUACAUUAAUUAUUAAAGAAUGCAUAAUAAAAAUCUAUUUUCUUUAAAAUAAAUAUAAAAAAUAAUCCUAUGAUAGUUUAGUUUAGAUCACAUCACUGUUUUUAACCUAUUUGCUAUGUUCAUAGUACUGGACGGUCAAGUAAUCCAAACAAAGAAAAACAUAUGUCAAUUCUUUAAUCUUGUUGUGGAAUCAUCGUCUGUCUUGCAUUCUACACAAGACAUCAUAAUCUAAGAAAAAGUAUUUGAAACCUUUCCCGGGUCGAAUAAUGCUUAUAUUUUUUUUCAUAUCCUCCUUUUUUUUGGGGCCUGGGGCCCUCGUUCUUAUCUUUUUUAAAUAUCCAAUGCUUGGAUCAUCUAUUAUGUCAGCCAAGCUGUGUGGUGUACAGUGUACUACUUUGCCAGAGGAACACCCGGUGAAAGCUUUUGGAUGGGCGGCUAGAGAUCAAUCUGGGCAUCUGUAUCCCUUUAAGUUCUCUAGAAGUUAUAUGUUUUUAAGGCAUUAAAAUCUUGCUCUAUCUUUUCUGAAUCAGAUUAUUUUCCUGAAAUUGUUUGGUUCGUGGUUACUGAAAUAUGGGGACUGAACUGAACUUCGUUCACUAAAGACGAGUCUGCGGUCAAAUCGCCCUUCAGGGCUGUUUAGACCGCCUGCUUUGGCAGCUUUUGAAACCCAAACCCCAUUCGUUUGGCCAAAAAUAUAAUCUGUUUAGACCUAUUUUGAAAUCAUGCCACAAAGAGUUGAUAGAAGGGAUGAAAAAUCUCAAAUUUCUAACCCCACCUCUCCGGUAACUUAUUUUGAUAACCAAGCCGAAUUAGGUUUUGUUUGAAUCAAUAUAAUUAACUUCUUAAAAUGAUUUAUUUAUAACUCAAAUUAAUAUCUUUAUUUAAAAUCAAAUUUUAAAUUAAUAAAAUAUGAAUUAAAUAAGUUAUAACCAUAAUCAAGCUAAUUAACACAAUUAUUAAAUAUAUCAAUUUUAAUCAAAUUCUUAUUGCGCAAAUUGAUAUUAAAAACAUUAUAUUUAUUAAAUAAGUUAUGUAGAUGGAUACAAGUUUCACCUUUACCCAAUUAUACUUCACCAAAGCCAGUAAACAACAUAUCAAGUUUGAAUUAUGGGAAGGUAUCUCGCAUCAAAUUUUAUUAUAUCUAACUUGAAGAGAGGACCUGACUAGGCCCACCCAAAUCACGGUCUCCAGCACCAAAAGGCAGCCUAAAGCCCCAUUUAUUGGGCUUGGGUCGGGUGAAAUUGCAUAGCUGCAGCUGAAAUUAGUAGUCAGAAAAAUAUGAUGGUAAAAACCGAGGCAAAAUGAUGACUAAAUGUCGUGCCGGAAUUCUCCGAAAAUGGCGUGACAGCCAAGCAAUUUAGUACGGAAACAUCGAGCCCGCCAUUCAGGAGUCUGUCACAGUCUUACUUAACCUACUACGUCAGGGCUGACUUACUAAACCUACCACGUCAGGGCUGACAACCCCCCCCCCCCCCUGCCUACUAUAAAUUACUCUAUCUGCCUGCAGUCCCUUCAUCGUCUCCUCUCUGAGUACUCUAAUUUCUUUUCUCCGGCUGCUUCAACAAGCUUCACACAGAAUUUCUCAUCCAGAAGAGAGAAGAAAAUGGCAAAAUCACCAGAGCAGGAGCACCCCACCAAGGCCUUUGGAUGGGCAGCCUCUGACCCAUCUGGCGUCCUCUCACCCUUCAAAUUCUCCAGAAGGUUUUCGCAACUUCUACCUUUUUUUUGUUGUACAUGAUGUCUCUUCUCGUUUCAUUUCCUUAGUUACAAUAUGAUCUGCAUUUUUCUCAUGCAAGAAAUCGUAAUGUUUUGCAUGAUUUCAAUUUAAAGGUGAAACAAGAAGGCAUGAAUGCUGAUCAUGGAUUCUCUUUCAUUGUUGGGUUUUGCAGGGCAACCGGGGAAAAGGACGUAAGGUUCAAGGUGCUCUACUGUGGAAUAUGUCACUCCGAUCUACACAUGCUCAAGAAUGAAUGGGGCUUUUCCACCUACCCUCUUGUUCCUGGGUAUGUUCCCUGUUCUGUUUACCCCCUCGCAAUUUUCUUUCCAACUUUUUCCUUGUUGAUCCUUGUAUGAGUAUCUACAAUGGCAUACAAAGAUCCAAAGCUUAAAAGGUGUAGAUUGAUCAAUAUGGGAUUCAGACUGAGCUCCUAGUUUUCAUUGACAUAACAUUCGAAUAAACAAUAGAAGAUUGUCAAUUAGGAAUGUUAAGCCAAAUUAGAAGACAAUUUUAGAUGGAGAAAAGAAAUGGUACAAUCUUUGACCGGAACUAAGAAACAUUUCGUAUCUGAAAAACUUAAAGAGUAAAAUACAUGUGAUUUAACAUUCUCUGAAUUUAAUGUUCAUAUUUCUUACUGCUUUUUAAGUUUCAACUUCUUGUACUGGAGUCCACUUUAAGCCCCAAAGUUUCAGUCUUGUGGCUUUCUUUUCAAGGACAGACAUUAGGAAAAAGUGCCCUAUUUCAUUUUCAAAGAGCAAGAGGCUGAUCGCCUCCAUAGAUAAUAUUAUCAAACUAUCUUUUUCAUAAACUAUAUAUUUUCCUUAAUGACACAUCUAAUACCCAUAAAAGCUGAAUUGGGCAAUGCAGGCAUGAGAUUGUAGGCAUCGUGACAGAGGUUGGAAGCAAGGUGGAAAAGCUUAAAGUAGGAGAUAAAGUUGGUGUUGGGUGUCUGGUUGGAGCUUGCCACUCUUGUGAUAAUUGUGCUAAUGAUCUAGAGAAUUACUGCCCCAAAAAUAUAUUAACCUAUGGUGCCACUUACUAUGAUGGAACCACCACAUAUGGAGGCUACUCGGAUGUCAUGGUUGCUGAGGAGCGCUAUGUGGUUCGAUUCCCGGAAAACCUCCCUCUUGAUGCCGGUGCUCCUCUCCUAUGUGCUGGGAUCACAGUGUACAGCCCCUUGCAACAUUUUGGAUUCACCAAACCUGGAAUGCACAUAGGUGUGGUUGGCCUGGGUGGGCUGGGACAUGUAGCAGUGAAGUUUGCUAAGGCUUUUGGGGUUAAGGUGACAGUGAUCAGUACUUCCACUAGCAAGAAGAAGGAAGCCACAGAACACCUUGGUGCUGACUCCUUUCUAGUCAGCCGUGACCCGGAUCAGAUGCAGGUAACUUGAGUAUGCUGUGGCGGUAUUACUGUUUUUGUAACUUCUUUGGUGAUUCUUUAGUUUAUAAUAGAUUUCUGAACUUGAAUUUUUAUAGGCUGCCUUGGGCACAAUGGAUGGCAUCAUUGAUACAGUCUCUGCAGUUCACCCUCUUCUUCCUUUGAUUGAUUUGCUGAAAUCUCAUGGGAAGCUAGUUAUGGUUGGUGCACCAAAUAGACCACUUGAGUUGCCAAUCUUUCCUCUGCUUAUGGGUAAGCAAAUUACUCCCCCAAAUCUCUGCAGUACUUCACUAAGAAUAAUGGUCCAUUUGUAAAAUCCGUUUGUAUCCACAAUUUUGUGUGCAACAAUUAAUAUGAGAAAAAAAAAGGGCUAACUCAAAUCCGUGGGAAAGUAUAACUAACCGGAAUUUGAACGACAGGGAGAAAGAUAGUGGCUGGAAGCAAUAUUGGAGGGAUGAAGGAGACACAGGAAAUGAUUGAUUUUGCGGGGAAACACAACAUAACUGCAGAUGUUGAGGUUGUUCCAAUGGACUAUGUAAACACUGCAUUGGAGCGACUGGAGAAAGCCGAUGUCAGGUACCGCUUCGUGAUCGACAUUGGCAACACGCUGAAAGCUGCCUAGGACAAGGUAGCUAGCGUAAUAAUUUAGUCUCCAUGAGCAAUUGACUUGCGGCCGGAUGAAGGCUGAAAUUGAGUGGUUUCAGUUCGCUUAAUUCAAUUGUGUACUUUUAUGUACGGUAUUGUACCCUAUCUAUAUAUUAUUAAAGAUAUAUAGAUUUUGAAAGUGAAAGAAGAAUAUCUGAAUAUUUUUAUUAAAAAUCUAGUGUUCUCGUCUUAUGUCAAAUUUUAGCAUAGGAGCAUGUAGAUCUUUUUUUAUCACAUGGCAUGGGAAUUGCUUUCAAUUCCUGACUAUACUAAUCUUAAUAAAAAGGAUUUGGUGAUUACAAAAUAUGAAAAUGGAAACUUUUACAUUAUUGGAUUCUUAAUUUCGUAGAGUUUUAAAGCUUUUUUAUUUAAUAUUAAUAUUAUUUGCAUGUAACCUUGCCCUUUAGUUUAAUUUUGAUUAUUGUACAAUUAAACAUUAAACUUUUUUAAUAAAAUGUUUGCUUAAGUGAUCGACAAUUGAAAAUAGGUUAGCAAAACUAAAGUUUGGAAAACAAAAUUAAAAAUGAAUUGUCAAGUUGAAUUUCCCCUACCAUGUGAAUUUGUAUCCUAUCCUAUGCUUGUCAAUCAAAUCUCAAACACAAUUCCUAAAUCCUUAAGGGGGUUUAUAUUGGUUUCUAUAUGGACUUAAGUGACUUGAGUCCAACUUGGACUUAGACCACUUAAUCUAACUCACUUAGAUCUUAACUAAUUAAUUAGGUCUAUUGAGUUCUAAUUAAUUAAUUAGUUUAGUCCAAAAAAGUCAUUCCUAAGAUCUAGUAUGACUUUACAUUUUUACCAAAACAUACUUAUACACACAUUUAAAUUAAAAACAAAAAAAAAAAACUCAACGAAAGUGUCACUGUGGAAUAUAAGCUCGAGCAAUAGCAAUUGGGACUCAUGGAAAAAUAUUGGCUCCUUUGGAAUCCAACUCUAAAAUUAACUCAACAUCCUAUUACAAAGAGUCAAUUGUAUUAUAAUAUCUUAUAAUAUUAAAACGAGACAAAACUCAAACUUACUAUCCACGACAUUCAGAUUUUCCAUGAAUUGGUAUAUGUUACCUGCCAAGAUAUGUGCUAUCAGUCUCUAAAGAUUAACUCUCAAAUCCUUGAGUUACAUUUGCUCGUAUUAUGUGAUCAACUGAUAUAUAUUCCAACUUACAAAAAACAUAUGUCAAAUUUUAAUCAAGAAAUUAUUAUUGUCAUAGUUUUCUUAAUCACAUAUUCUUAAAAUCAUCCAAGAUGACACGUUGCCUCAAUCUAGUGAGAUAUCAUGGUGCCCCUAUCAUAAUACUUGUUAUUGCAUACCUUAAUCAAUAGGCUCAAUUCAUAAGGAAUAUACGAUCAUCUUAAGAUCUCACUCAUAGGUCAAAACCACUGACCUCAAUGUAGGAUAAAGCCUUUAAAAGUAUCACAUGAUGUAAUAAAUUUGGAAUUUGUUAUUUAUUUAAUGAUGUUUCAAUUUCACUUUUAUCUAUCUUUAUUUUAUGUAUUGUACUUUAUGAGUAUUCUCACCUAACAUCUUUUGCAUUAUACGUGAUUUGGAUGCAUUAAAAGUUGCAUAGAAGAUCAAGUCACAGAUUCCUUGCAAAUAGAUGACUUGUUCACAACUAGUUCAUGGAUCUAGGCAACCCAUCAGAGACUGUAGUGUAUCACUUUUUAAUUAGAGGGAUGACUGGAAUUGACCAUCGGGAUGGAUUUCCCAUGGUGAGUGCAUUAGUAUAUAUGGUUACACACUUUACAAGACUUACAGUGACUUAUGACUUAAGGUUAUCAAGUAGUCAUAACCUUAUCAAACUACUUUAUUAUGUUAUCUCUCAACCUUGAAAGAAUAUUGAGUUUGUCCUAAAGUUACCAGUGGUUUUGACCUAUGGAUGAGAUUGUAAGUUGAUCAUAUAUUGAUGUAAGUCAGUAUUAAUAGGUAUUCUCAAUAAAAAUACCAUGAUAUUUCAUAGGAUUGAGACAGAUUAUUCCCUUAGGUGAUAUUAAGGAAAAGUGUUUAUGGAAACUAUGGUAAUAGUAGUUUUUUAAGUGGAAUUUGACAUAGGUUCUUUGAGAGUUAAGACAUAUCAGUUGAACACACAAUAUAAGGAUUUAUAACUCAAUGAUAGUAAAGGUAAUCUUGAAAGUCUGAUAGUUUUCACCUUAUUAAACUAUAGACACCAGUUCAUGAGAAGAUUAAAAGUAAUAGAUAGUAGGUCAUGAACUCGAAUACAUAGUGUUUCAUUGUUAUUUACAUAAAAAAAUUGGAGUUCACUUGAUUCUCUAUAGUGAAGUGUUGAAUCAACUUUAAAAUUGGAUUCUUAGGGAGCCAAUACUCCUAUGAAUCCCAAGGGUCCUCGCUUUGACCUCAUAUACUUUGUUAGCAUGGGUUAUGAGGGUUGGAUUGACUCUAGAUUCACUUUUACAUAUAAAAGUGUUUUGGUAAUUACGCAAGGUUGCACAAAGGUAAGUGAACAAAGUCUCUAUUUUAGGCUAAUUGAUUAAUUAAUAGGAUUUGUUAGGUUAAUUAAUCAAUUAAGACCCAAUUUGGGUUAUAUUAAGUGACCCAAACUCAUAUGGACUCAAGUCACUAUAAAUACCCUUUAGGGGUUAAGGUUUCCAUCAUUUUUUGUUUUUCACCAUCCAAAAAGAAAGUCAUAGCCUUCACUUUUCUUUCUUCCCCAUUGGAAGUGUGCCAAGAAUAAGGUUGAGUCAUUGGACAGAAAAUCAUGGAUUUAUGAGACUUCUAACAACUUCAAAGUCGUCUUUAACACUUAGAAUUUAAGGUUUAGAAACAUCCAAACCUAAAGGUUAGUAUUUUAACCUUAAAAAUCUUUUUCUUUUUUUUUUGAAAAAUUGGUAUUACUUUCGUUACUUAGAUCUAAGAUAUUAACAUUCAACAUGAACUUAAUAUUUUCUCAAGGUUGAAAGUUCAUAUAACAUAUUAACUUAGUGAAUCAUGACUACCCAAUAACUAAUGUUAUGAUUCAUCAUAGAUCAUGUCUAACCAUACACAUUAAUACACUCACCUUGGGAAAACCAUCUGGAUGGCCAAGACAAGUUUUUCGUCCAAUUAGAAGGUAGUAUACUAUAGUUUCUAAUGGAUUGCUCAAAUUCAUAAAUCAGCUAUAAACUACUUACCAUCUUACAAGAAACUUAUAAUUUGAAUCUUCUAUGCAACUCUUAAUGCACCUAAGUCAUGUAAAAGCAAGUGAUAAGAGUGUCAAUGCUCAUAUAACAAUUAAUGUAACAAUAAGAGAAAAAAAAACUAAAAUCAUAAUAAAUAAAUUUAUUAAUGAAACUACAUUAUGCUACAUCAUGUCCUACUUUUAAAAGUUUUAUCCUAAUGACUCAUUAUGACUCAUUGGAAUUUACUGACUCCCUUAAAAUCCAAUUUUAAAGUUGAUUUAACAUCUCACUAUAAAGACUCAACUACAUUCUAGUAUCUUAUAACAUUAAAAUAAAAUAUUAAACUCGAGUUUAUAACCUACUAUCCACUAUAUGUAAGGUCCUCAUAAACUAGUGUUUGUGAUAUAACAAAGUGAAUGUUAUUCUCAUAAUUACCUCUAUAGUUCUUGAGUCUUAAAUCCUCCUAAUAUAUAAUCAACUAACAUAUUCUAGCUCUCAAAAAACAUAUGUCAAAUUUUAAUUAAAGAAUUAUUAUAAUUAUAAAUUUCCUAAUCACAAAUCCUUAAAAUCAUUUAAAUAAAAACAUUAUCUCAAACUUAUGAGAUAUCAUGGUGUUUAUCAAAAUACUUAUUGUCACAUGUCUUAAUCAACAAUAACUCAACCCAUAGGAAAUAUUCCACCGAGGUCACCCAUAGGUUAAAGUUAGUGAAGACCUUAGCACUAGCUUAGUAUUCUUUCAAGAUUGAAAGCUCAUACAACAUAGUAUCUUGGUAAAAAGUCUUGAUUAUCUUAUAAUUAAUAUCAUAACUCAACAUAAGUUCUCUCCAAUAUGUAACCAUACAUAAUCAUGCACUCGCCAUAAAAAACUUAUCAUGAUGACCAAGACAAGUCAUUCCUCCAAUUAUGACAUAAUGCAUUACAACCUCAAAUAGAAUGUUUAAAGUCAUGAACCAAUUACGAAUCGUUCAUCUGCUUGUAAAGAAUUCAUGAUUUGAAUCUUCCACAUGACUUCUAAUACACAUAAGUCAUAUACAAUGCAAUUGAUGUUAAGCAUAAAUGCUUUAAAAGUAUAAUGCAUAAGUAGGAUAGGUGAAAGAGAAAUUGGAAUCAUAUUAUAAAUAAUAAAAAUCAUGUAUUAUUACAUCAUAUCAUAUUUUUAAAGAUUUUAUCCUAACACUUAUUGAUUAUGGGGUUUACUGUUUUUCCUACGAAAAUAAUGUCAGCAUGUUAUACUAUGAUUUAAGUUAUUAUAGCAUACUUUAAAACCAAUUGUUGGAUGAAAAUAACAUACAUACAUAGCAAAACAUAAAGCUCUAGGUUUUAAAAAUCAUACCUUUUUAUAGAUGAUGAGAUACGCUUAAAAAAUCGAGCUAUCUUCCACCAUAAUGUUGGCCUUAUAUAUACUUGGGUAUGUAUGUGGGUACCGUACACCAUGAGCAAUGUCAAGGAAAAAAAAUGGGAGUAGCUAACGGCUACUAAAGCUAUUUGUGAAAAAUAAUAAUAAUAAUAAUAAUAAUAAAGUACUUGUUUUAUAUAGAUUUUAUGAUUGUCGUCAAAUAACGCCUUGCCUUUAACAGGCCUAAGAACAUUAAAAAUGGGGCAUAGAGCAAGGGGUCUUAAAAGUCAAACACUUUAUUAAAUAGGUCAAAACAAAUAUGAGAAGAAAAGAAAUUUGAAAAAUAAAAAUUCUUUUCCAUUUUGCUUUUCCAAGUUUCAUUUGACACGACACAAUUUUUAUUACUAUUACUUUAUGAAAGAGUUGUUAUAUCUCAAAAAUUGGAUUUGUUGAUUCGGAAUCAUGGAAUAGGUAGAUGUGACAGGUAAUGAAUCCUUUUUUUUUUUUUUCUACCUCUAUAACUCUCUCUUUGUGAGUGUCUUCUAUAAGGAUAAUGACUGAUGAAUCAAAAACUGUCAAUUGGUAUUUUUUUUUUUCUUAUCCUUUUAUUAUGAAUAAUAAUUGAAUUAAAAAUAUGAAUUUAAAAAUAAUUUAAUUAUUAAAUAGGUAACAUAUUGUAUAACCUAUCUAAUAAUUAUGCAUUACUUAAUAAUCAAAUCGACUUAAGUUUUAUUUGAGUCAAUAUGAUUAAAUUCUCAAAGAUGGUAUAAUUAUGAUUCAAUUAAUUUAUUUAUUUAAAUCAAAUUUUAAAUGAGUAAAAUAUUGAUUAAAUAAGUUAAAAUUAUAAUCAAAUUAAUUAAUACAAUUAUUAAAUAUACCAAUUUGAAUUAAAUUCAUGUUACGUAAAUUAACCCAAAAAUAAUAUUUUUAUUAAACGAAUGGUAAAGAUGGAUGUGAAUUUGAAUUAAAUAAGAUUAUACUCAACUCAAAAAAAUAAAAAAUAAAAACAUGUCACAUUUGAGCGAUGUUAAGGUAUGUAUCAAACUUUGGUACCCCUUAGAGAGAACCCACCAGUCCCACCCAAAUCUCGUGUCGCCAGCGCUAACAGACAGCCUGAAGCUCCAAUUGUUGGGCUUGGGUCGGUGGGUCGGUUGAAAUUGCGUAGAGGCAGCUGAUAUGAAUAGCCAAAGGAAAAUAUGAAUGUGGUAAAUGCCGUGUUGCAAGGGAAAUGGUGGCUGUGGCAGGAAACGAAAAAGGGACAAUUGUAUUUAGGGACGGUUAGGCCUAAAUAUUAAACUUUGGUGCAUAUAACUUAUAUAAUUGAUGAAAAUAAUAUAAAACAUUAAAAGAUCAAUAUACUCUUCAAAUUUUCAUAUAUUACCUCUAAUUGAUUUUAAGGAUAUAAAAUAGUGAUGAACUAAAAUACUCAUUGACCUUUCACUUAAGUUUUUUUUGUCUUUAUUGUACUACUGUUCAUAUAACCAUAAUAAUUUUAUUUUAACCAUUGGAUUUUUCAUUGUUUUUUAAAACUUUUUUUAAUAAAUAAUUGAAAAUCAAUAUUAUUUUAUAUUUUAAAUUGUAAAUAAAGAAAAAUUACAUUCAAAAACUAUUUUAAAAAAUACUUUCUAAAAAAAAUGGUAAUAUGAUUUUUAUUUUUUAUAUUUUCUUUUUGAAAAAACAUUUAAUUAAAAUAUGAAAAAUAUUUUUAAAAAUGAAAAUUGAAAAUCUUGUUUAGUACUAUUUUUUAUAUGAAAAUAAUAAAAAGAAUUAAAUUUCAUUCAUUGACUAUCUAUUUUUAUUUUUUUUCCAUUAUUCAUUUUAAUAAUAAAAUAAAUAAAUAAAUAAAUAAUUAUAUAUAUAUAUAUAUAUAUAAUAUGUUUACAAUUAAACAAAGGAAUUGGUCAAUUAUAUGUUUUUUGUGUGACUAUCAUUUACAUGAAAAAUAAUUAAAUAACUAAAUUAUAUAUAUUUAUUACUCU
rnacentral:lncRNA from 1 species